AUCAACGCUGGCGGCGUGCCUAACACAUGCAAGUCGAACGAGAAAGUGGAGUAAUCCAUGAGUAGUAAAGUGGCGCACGGGUGAGUAACACGUGACUAACCCUACCCAGGAGUGGGGGAUAACUGAGGGAAACCUUAGCUAAUACCGCAUAACACCUAAGGGUCAAAGGAGCAAUUCGCUUCUGGAGGGGGGUCGCGGCCGAUUAGUUAGUUGGCAGGGUCAUGGCUACAAGACGAUGAUCGGUAUCCGGCCGAGAGGCGCACGGACACACUGGAAUGAAACACGGUCCAGACUCCUACGGGAGGCAGCAGUGGGGAAUUUUGCGCAAUGGGGGAAACCCUGACGCAGCAACGCCGCAGUGGAGGAUGAAGUCCUUCGGGACGUAAACUCCUUCGAUCGGGACGAUUAUGACCGGUACCGGAAGAAGAAGCCCCGGCUAACUUCGUGCCAGCCAGCCGCGGUAAUACGAGGGGGCGAGCGUUGUUCGGAAUUAUGGGUCCGUAAAGGGUGCGUAGGCGGUUGGUAAGUCUGAUGUGAAAUCUAUGGGCUCAAUCAUAGUCUGCAUCGGAAACUGCCGGGCUUGAGCGUGGGAGAGGUGAGUGGAAUUCCUGGUGUAGCGGUGAAUGCGUAGAUAUCAGGAGGAACACCUGUGGCGAAAGCGGCUCACUGGACAUAACUGACGCUGAUGCACGAAAGCUAGGGGAGCAAACAGGAUUAGAUACCCUGGUGUCCCUAGCCCUAAACGAUGACUGCUUGGUGUGGACGGGUACCCAAUCCCGCCGUGCCGUAGCUAACGCGUUAAGCAGUCCGCCUGGGGGAGUACGGUCGCAAGGCUGAAACUCAAAGGAAUUGACGGGGGCCCGCACAAGCGGUGGAGCAUGUGGUUUAAUUCGACGCACCGCGAAGAACCUUACCUGGGCUCGAAAUGUACAGGAACCGGUGUGGAAACAUCGGCGUCCCGCAAGGGACCUGUAUAUAGGUGCUGCAUGGCUGUAGUCAGCUAGUGUAGUGAGAUGUUGGGUAAGUCCCGCAACGAGCGCAACCAUUAUCUUCAGUGCUACCAUUUAGUUGAAGCAUCUGACGAAAACCGCAUCGGAUAACGGGAGGAAGGUAGGGAGAUGACGUCAAGUCCUCAAUGGCCUUAUGUCCAGGGCUACACAGUGCUACAAUGGCCGGUACAAAACCGUAGCAAACCGGAGGGGGAGCUAAUCGGAAAAAAGCAGGCCUCAGUUCGGCUCGUAGUCGUGCAACUCGACUACGUGAAGCUGGAAUCGCUAGUUUAAUCGCGGAUCAGAAUGCGCGGUGAUACGUUCCCGGGCCUGUACACACCGCCCGUCACAUCACGCAAGUGGUUGCACUAGAAGUCGGUGAGCCAACUCGCAAGAGAGGCAGCCGCCCAAGGUUGUAUUCAUGAUUGGGGUG
rnacentral:rRNA from 1 species